AACGAACGCUGGCGGCAGGCCUAACACAUGCAAGUCGAACGCCCCGCAAGGGGAGUGGCGCACGGGUGAGUAACGCGUGGGAAUAUGCCCUUCGGUUCGGAAUAACACAGGGAAACUUGUGCUAAUACCGGAUACGAUCUACGGAUGAAAGAUUUAUCGCCGAGGGAGUAGCCCGCGUAGGAUUAGCUAGUUGGUGAGGUAAUGGCUCACCAAGGCGACGAUCCUUAGCUGGUCUGAGAGGAUGAUCAGCCACACUGGGACUGAGACACGGCCCAGACACCUACGGGAGGCAGCAGUGGGGAAUAUUGGACAAUGGGCGAAAGCCUGAUCCAGCCAUGCCGCGUGAGUGAUGAAGGCCUUAGGGUUGUAAAGCUCUUUCGCCAGGGAAGAUAAUGACGGUACCUGGAAAAGAAGCCUCGGCUAACUCCGUGCCAGCAGCCGCAGUAA
rnacentral:rRNA from 1 species